GACGAACGCUGGCGGCGUGCUUAACACAUGCAAGUCGAACGGUGAAGCUCCAGCUUGCUGGAGUGGAUCAGUGGCGAACGGGUGAGUAACACGUGAGCAACCUGCCCCUGACUCUGGAAUAAGCGCUGGAAACGGCGUCUAAUACUGGAUACGAGAAGGGUCCGCAUGGGCACUUUCUGGAAAGUUUUUCGGUUGGGGAUGGGCUCGCGGCCUAUCAGCUUGUUGGUGAGGUAAUGGCUCACCAAGGCGACGACGGGUAGCCGGCCUGAGAGGGCGACCGGCCACACUGGGACUGAGACACGGCCCAGACUCCUACGGGAGGCAGCAGUGGGGAAUAUCGCACAAUGGGCGAAAGCCUGAUGCAGCGACGCCGCGUGAGGGAUGACGGCCUUCGGGUUGUAAACCUCUUUCAGCGGGGAAGAAGCGAAAGUGACGGUACCUGCAGAAGAAGCACCGGCUAACUACGUG
rnacentral:rRNA from 1 species